rnacentral:rRNA from 1 species
GUUAGACGAACAGCCUGGAAAGGCCGACGAUACAGGGUGAUAGUCCCGUAGUUGACGACGUGUGUUCAGUGAAAUCGAGUAGGGCGGGACACGUGAUAUCCUGUCUGAAUAUGGGGGGACCAUCCUCCAAGGCUAAAUACUACUGACUGACCGAUAGUGAACCAGUACCGUGAGGGAAAGGCGAAAAGAACCCCUGUGAGGGGAGUGAAAUAGAACCUGAAACCGUGUACGUACAAGCAGUAGGAGCAGGCUUGUCCUGUGACUGCGUACCUUUUGUAUAAUGGGUCAGCGACUUAUAUUCAGUGGCAAGGUUAACCAUCUAGGGGAGCCGUAGGGAAACCGAGUCUUAACUGGGCGUUCAGUCUCUGGAUAUAGACCCGAAACCAGGUGAUCUAGCCAUGGGCAGGUUGAAGGUUGAGUAACAUCAACUGGAGGACCGAACCGACUAAUGUUGAAAAAUUAGCGGAUGACUUGUGGCUAGGGGUGAAAGGCCAAUCAAACCUGGAGAUAGCUGGUUCUCCCCGAAAGCUAUUUAGGUAGCGCCUCGGACGAAUACUACUGGGGGUAGAGCACUGUUAAGGCUAGGGGGUCAUCCCGACUUACCAACCCUUUGCAAACUCCGAAUACCAGUAAGUACUAUCCGGGAGACACACGGCGGGUGCUAACGUCCGUCGUGGGUAAACCGAAGCUGCGGCAAUGCACUUUAGUGCAUUGGGUAGGGGAGCGUUCUGUAAGCGGUUGAAGGUGUGUGGUAACGCAUGCUGGACGUAUCAGAAGUGCGAAUGCUGACAUGAGUAACGAUAAAGGGGGUGAAAAACCUCCUCGCCGGAAGACCAAGGGUUCCUGUCCAACGUUAAUCGGGGCAGGGUAAGUCGACCCCUAAGGCGAGGCCGAAAGGCGUAGUCGAUGGGAAACGGGUUAAUAUUCCCGUACUUCUUACAAUUGCGAUGGGGGGACGGAGAAGGCUAGGUGGGCCUGGCGACGGUUGUCCAGGUUCAAGUGCGUAGGCUGAGUCGGGUAGAGAAUACCAAGGCGCUUGAGAGAACUCGGGUGAAGGAACUAGGCAAAAUGGUACCGUAACUUCGGGAGAAGGUACGCUCUCGACGGUGAAGUCCCUCGCGGAUGGAGCUAUUGAGAGUCGCAGAUACCAGGUGGCUGCAACUGUUUAUUAAAAACACAGCACUGUGCAAAAUCGCAAGAUGACGUAUACGGUGUGACGCCUGCCCGGUGCCGGAAGGUUAAUUGAUGGGGUUAGACUUCGGUCGAAGCUCUUGAUCGAAGCCCCGGUAAACGGCGGCCGUAACUAUAACGGUCCUAAGGUAGCGAAAUUCCUUGUCGGGUAAGUUCCGACCUGCACGAAUGGCGUAAUGAUGGCCACGCUGUCUCCACCCGAGACUCAGUGAAAUUGAAAUCGCUGUGAAGAUGCAGUGUACCCGCGGCUAGA